GACGAACGCUGGCGGCGUGCCUAACACAUGCAAGUCGAGCGGGGAGGAGGAAGCUUGCUUCCGAAUCCUAGCGGCGGACGGGUGAGUAACGCGUGAGCAACCUGCCUUGAACUGGGGGAUAACGCAUCGAAAGAUGUGCUAAUACCGCGUAAGACCACAGCACCGCAUGGUGCGGGGGUCAAAGGAGCAAUCCGGUUUAAGAUGGGCUCGCGUCCGAUUAGCUAGUUGGUGAGAUAACAGCCCACCAAGGCAACGAUCGGUAGCCGACCUGAGAGGGUGAUCGGCCACAUUGAAACUGAGACACGGUCCAA
rnacentral:rRNA from 1 species